UGGUUCUGGCAUCGAUGAAGAACGCAGCGAAAUGCGAUAAGUAAUGUGAAUUGCAGAAUUCAGUGAAUCAUCGAAUCUUUGAACGCACAUUGCGCCCAUGAGUAUUCUCUUGGGCAUGCCUGUUCGAGCGUCAUUUCAACCCUUAAGCCUAGCUUAGUGUUGGGAAUCUAAAGGUGAGCUACCCUGUAGCUACCCUGUAGCUCCCGAAAACCAACGGCGGAUUUGUAGCGUCCUCUGAGCGUAGUAAUAUCAUCUCGCUUCUGCCAGGCGCUGUAACUCUGGCCGCUAAACCCCUAAACUCCAAUGGUUGACCUCGGAUCAGGUAGGAAUACCCGCUGA
rnacentral:misc_RNA from 1 species